AUUGAACGCUGGCGGCGUGCUUAACACAUGCAAGUCGAUCGGUAACAGGUGUAGCAAUACAUGCUGACGAGAGGCGGACGGGUGAGUAAUGCUUGGGAAUCUGCCUAUUAGUGGGGGACAACCCGGGGAAACUCGGGCUAAUACCGCAUACGCUCUACGGAGGAAAGCCGGGGACCGCAAGGCCUGGCGCUAAUAGAUGAGCCCAAGUCGGAUUAGCUAGUUGGUAGGGUAACGGCCUACCAAGGCGACAAUCCGUAGCUGGUCUGAGAGGACGACCAGCCACACCGGAACUGAGACACGGUCCGGACUCCUACGGGAGGCAGCAGUGGGGAAUAUUGGACAAUGGGGGCAACCCUGAUCCAGCGACGCCGCGUGGGUGAAGAAGGCCUGGCGGGUUGUAAAGCCCUUUCGGUGGGGAAGAAAGUCUCGACCUAAUACGUCGGGACCUUGACCGUAACC
rnacentral:rRNA from 1 species